GUGGGGAAUAUUGGACAAUGGGCGCAAGCCUGAUCCAGCCAUGCCGCGUGAGUGAUGAAGGCCCUAGGGUUGUAAAGCUCUUUCACCGGUGAAGAUAAUGACGGUAACCGGAGAAGAAGCCCCGGCUAACUUCGUGCCAGCAGCCGCGGUAAUACGAAGGGGGCUAGCGUUGUUCGGAAUUACUGGGCGUAAAGCGCACGUAGGCGGGUAUUUAAGUCAGGGGUGAAAUCCCGGAGCUCAACUCCGGAACUGCCUUUGAUACUGGGUACCUAGAGUAUGGAAGAGGUAAGUGGAAUUCCGAGUGUAGAGGUGAAAUUCGUAGAUAUUCGGAGGAACACCAGUGGCGAAGGCGGCUCACUGGCUCGAUACUGACGCUGAGGUGCGAAAGCGUGGGGAGCAAACAGGAUUAGAUACCCUUGUAGUCC
rnacentral:rRNA from 1 species